rnacentral:lncRNA from 1 species
GAUAAGGACUGGCAGGAAAGUUGUUUACUGAAACUAAAACAGGGAGGCACAAAGGAUAAGGAAGUUAGUUUGGCUUUGGAAGUAGGGAACAAAGAACAAGGACACUGAACAAGCUAAAUCUUUGAAGAGGAACUUCUUUUGUAUCUGACAAAGGUCUUCAAGGAAGAAGGGAGAGAGUGACCUUUCUAGGUUUUAUGGUUGAUGCUGGUGGAGAGGAGUUCUAGUUUCUAAGAUUUACCUUGAGGAAGAAGAACUGUAGUUUCUGUGGCUUGCAGACAAGCAAAGCAAAGCUGAUAAGCAUCAUUAGCAUCCAUUUUAAAUUUAAGCAAACUGAACUCCAAGAGGUUAAGAAACUUGCUCCAAGUGACACAGCUGCUCAACAAAGCUUCAGAAUAUCAGAGGGGGUCAAGUUCCUCAUGUUUGAUUUCUA